AUAGCCUUUCGAAUAACCAGAAGGUGCUAAUUAUUUUUCCACACCGUUUGGUUCAGACAAAGGCUUAUAUCAAUUGAUCGGAUUAUAAUAUUAUUCCGUCGCCGAAUCCGUUUGAGGGAGUCGAACGCUUUUUCCUUUCGUUCCUCUCCUAGAUAGAUUCGGACAUUU
rfam:Cucumis melo, WGS project CAJI01000000 data, contig: 06649